GACGAACGCUGGCGGCGUGCUUAACACAUGCAAGUCGAACGGAAAGGCCCUGCUUUUGUGGGGUGCUCGAGUGGCGAACGGGUGAGUAACACGUGAGUAACCUGCCCGUGACUUUGGGAUAACUUCAGGAAACUGGGGCUAAUACCGGAUAGGAGCUCCUGCUGCAUGGUGGGGGUUGGAAAGUUUCGGCGGUUGGGGAUGGACUCGCGGCUUAUCAGCUUGUUGGUGGGGUAGUGGCUUACCAAGGCUUUGACGGGUAGCCGGCCUGAGAGGGUGACCGGCCACAUUGGGACUGCGAUACGGCCCAGACUCCUACGGGAGGCAGCAGUGGGGAAUAUUGCACAAUGGGCGGAAGCCUGAUGCAGCAACGCCGCGUGCGGGAUGACGGCCUUCGGGUUGUAAACCGCUUUCGCCUGUGACGAAGCGUGAGUGACGGUAAUGGGUAAAGAAGCACCGGCUAACUACGUG
rnacentral:rRNA from 1 species